rnacentral:lncRNA from 1 species
UUUAGUUUUCGGUGGACACAACAUCUUUGUUUGUAUGUGGUGCUGAGGAUCGAACCCGGGCGGCACAGCAUGCCAAGCGAGCGCGCUACUGCUUGAGCCACAUCCCCAUCCCCCACAAAUGUUUAUAGCAGUUUUAUUCAUUAUAAUCACAAACUGGAAAUGACCCAUAUGUGUUUUCAGUGGAUGAGUGUAUAAAUCAACUGCAGCACAUCGAUGCUAUGGAAUAGUACUCAGCAAUAAAAAGAAAAACUAUUGAAACACAAAACAAACUGGAUGUAUCUCCCAGGCAUUACUCCGGUGUGAAAAAAGUCGAUUCUCAAAAUGUGACAUAUUGUAUGAUUCCAUUUUUAUAACAUUGAAAUGAUAAACUUACAGAGACAGAGAGCACAUUAGCAGCUGUAAGAGUUUAAGGUGAGAGAAAGGAGAUUAGUGUGACGUUAACCGGGAGUAUGAGGGAAAUCUUUGUUGUACGAGAGAAAUCUUUGUAUUGAUGCAAUAAUUCCAUAUCUUGAUUGCUGUGGUGAUUUAUAGAGACAUCCUCAUGUGAUAAAGUGGCAUGUUAUUGUACCAUAUUUGAUUUUGUCCUAUAUUAUGUCCAUGUAAACAUUUGAGGAAGUAGAUGGAGGGGGGUACAUAGAACCUGCCUGUACUAUCUUUGCAAUUUUCUAUGUAUCUCUAUUUCAAAAUAAAAAUAAUUCUAAAAACUUUAUAAAGUAGUGCAAUUAAGAAAAUAUUGCUAAAAGUUGCUGGACACCAGCUGUACUUGAGAAAUCAUUCCAUUAAAUAUUGUUGCCGCCAUUGAACACUGGACGGUGGAUACUGGCCUUGUUACCAAUGCCCACCCUGGAAAUUGCAUUUUCUUGUGACUUCUGCUCCUACCACCGGAACUAGGACAAUGGAUUCCAUCAUUGCAUUUUUUUAAUCACUCAGAAUAAGUUAGGUGGGCAUUGUGACUGCAAAGUGAAAAGGUUGAUUCAGCAGGUCUGGAGUGUUCCAAACUCUGUGCAUUCCAAAACAAAAAUGUCUUGUACAAAGAAAGGUCUGGCUCUUGAGCAACUUUGGGAGGUAACCUCUAAGCCCUUGGAAAAUAUUCUGCCUGAUUUGAGUGUCUUUGUUUGCCCAGGGCCUUGAGCCACAUCAGACUGUUUAUACUAACAAAGUUUUAUGGUAGGAACUUUGGGCCUUGGGGUAUUAGUCUGGAGACUGAAUAACUAACUCAGGUGCUCGGGGAUUAGCCGACUGACCCCCAGUAAAAACCCUAGGUACUAAGUCCUGGGUGAACAUCCCUGUUGACAGUGUUCCUUACAUUUUUUUCACAUUGUUGGGAGAAUUAAGCACCAAAGAUACAACUCCUUUGGGCGACAACAAAUGACAAUUCAUGUCUGGUCUGUCCUGUAUGUACCUUUUACCUUUGUUGACUUUCA